ACCCGCCCAGACUCCUACGGAGGCAGCAGUGGGGAAUAUUGCACAAUGGGGAAACCUGAUGCAGCGACGCCGCGUGAGGGAUGACGGCCUUCGGGUGUAAACCUCUUUCAGUAGGGAAGAAGCCUUUCGGGGUGACGGUACCUGCAGAAGAAGUACCGGCUAACUACGUGCCAGCAGCCGCGGUAAUACGUAGGGUACAAGCGUUGUCCGGAAUUAUUGGGCGUAAAGAGCUCGUAGGCGGUCCGUCGCGUCUGCUGUGGAAACGCAAGGCUCAACCUUGCGCGUGCAGUGGGUACGGGCGGACUAGAGUGCAGUAGGGGAGUCUGGAAUUCCUGGUGUAGCGGUGAAAUGCGCAGAUAUCAGGAGGAACACCGGUGGCGAAGGCGGGACUCUGGGCUGUUACUGACGCUGAGGAGCGAAAGCAUGGGGAGCGAACAGGAUUAGAUACCCUGGUAGUCCAUGCCGUAAACGUUGGGCACUAGGUGUGGGGCUCAUUCCACGAGUUCCGCGCCGCAGCUAACGCAUUAAGUGCCCCGCCUGGGGAGUACGGCCGCAAGGCUAAAACUCAAAGGAAUUGACGGGGGCCCGCACAAGCGGCGGAGCAUGCGGAUUAAUUCGAUGCAACGCGAAGAACCUUACCAAGGCUUGACAUACACCGGAAUGUGCCAGAGAUGGUUCAGCCCUUUGGGCUGGUGUACAGGUGGUGCAUGGUUGUCGUCAGCUCGUGUCGUGAGAUGUUGGGUUAAGUCCCGCAACGAGCGCAACCCUCGUUCUAUGUUGCCAGCACGUGAUGGUGGGAACUCAUAGGAGACUGCCGGGGUCAACUCGGAGGAAGGUGGGGAUGACGUCAAAUCAUCAUGCCCUUUAUGUCUUGGGCUUCACGCAUGCUACAAUGGUCGGUACAAAGGGUUGCGAGACCGUGAGGUGGAGCGAAUCCCAGAAAGCCGAUCUCAGUUCGGAUCGUAGUCUGCAACUCGACUACGUGAAGUCGGAGUCGCUAGUAAUCGCAGAUCAGCACG
rnacentral:rRNA from 1 species